rnacentral:rRNA from 1 species
UACAGAGGUCUCAAGCGUUGUUCGGAUUCAUUGGGCGUAAAGGGUGCGUAGGCGGCGCGGUAAGUCGGGUGUGAAAUCUUGGAGCUUAACUCCGAAAACUGCAUUCGAUACUGCCGUGCUUGAGGACUGGAGAGGAGACUGGAAUUUACGGUGUAGCGGUGAAAUGCGUAGAUAUCGUAAGGAAGACCAGUGGCGAAGGCGGGGUCUCUGGACAGUUCCUGACGCUGAGGCACGAAGGCCAGGGGGAGCAAAACGGG